rnacentral:rRNA from 1 species
GAUGAACGCUAGCGGCAGGCCUAACACAUGCCAGUCGAGGGGUAGAAGGAGCUUGCUCCUUUGAGACCGGCGCACGGGUGCGUAACGCGUAUGCAAUCUACCUUGUACAUGGGAAUAGCCCAGCGAAAUUUGGAUUAAUGCCCCAUAGUAUAUAACCUUCGCAUGUUGGUUAUAUUAAAGUUCCAUGCGUACAAGAUGAGCAUGCGUCCCAUUAGUUAGUUGGUAAGGUAACGGCCUACCAAGACGAUGAUGGGUAGGGGUCCUGAGAGGGAGGUCCCCCACGCUGGUACGGAGACACGGACCAGACUCCUACGGGAGGCAGCAGUGAGGAAUAUUGGUCAAUGGUCGCAAGACUUAACCAGACAUGCCGCGUGCAGGAAGACGGUCCUAUGGAUUGUAAACUGCUUUUAUACAGGAAGAAACCCUCCAACGUGUGGGAGCUUGACGGUACUGUAGGAAUAAGGAUCGGCUAACUCCGUG